UACGAACUGUGCGAACGUUAUUCGGAAUCACUGGGCUUACAGGGUGCGUAGGCGGCUUGUUAAGUAGGGUGUGAAAGCCCCCGGCUCAACCGGGGAAUUGCGCCCUAAACUGGCGAGCUGGAGUGAGAUAGGGGUGUGUGGAACUUCCGGUGGAGCGGUGAAAUGUGUUGAUAUCGGAAGGAACGCCGGUAGCGAAAGCGACACACUGGGUCUUGACUGACGCUGAGGCACGAAAGCCAGGGGAGCGAACGGG
rnacentral:rRNA from 1 species